rnacentral:rRNA from 1 species
ACUAGGGAGCAGCAGUAGGGAAUCUUCCACAAUGGACGAAAGUCUGAUGGAGCAACGCCGCGUGAGUGAAGAAGGGUUUCGGCUCGUAAAGCUCUGUUGGUAGUGAAGAAAGAUAGAGGUAGUAACUGGCCUUUAUUUGACGGUAAUUACUUAGAAAGUCACGGCUAACUACGCGCCAGCAGCCGCGGUAAUACGUAGGUGGCAAGCGUUGUCCGGAUUUAUUGGGCGUAAAGCGAGUGCAGGCGGGUCAAUAAGUGUG